UACGAAGGGUGCAACCGUUGCUCGGAAUUAUUGGGCGUAAAGCGCACGUAGGCGGCUUUGCAAGUCGGAUGUGAAAUCCCUCGGCUCAACCAAGGAAGUGCAUCCGAAACUGCAGAGCUUGAGUACUUAAGAGGAUCGCGGAAUUCCCGGUGUAGAGGUGAAAUUCGUAGAUAUCGGGAGGAACACCAGUGGCGAAGGCGGCGAUCUGGGAAGAUACUGACGCUGAGGUGCGAAAGCGUGGGGAGCAAACAGG
rnacentral:rRNA from 1 species